rnacentral:rRNA from 1 species
AAUAUUGGACAAUGGGCGAAAGCCUGAUCUAGCCAUGCCGUGUGUGUGAAGAAGGUAUUCGGAUUGUUAAGCACUUUUAGUUGGGAGGAAGGGCUUUAGGCUAAUACCCUGAAGUUUUCACGUUACCAACAGAAUAAGUACCGGCUAACUCUGUGCCAGCGGCCGCGGUAAUACAUAGGGUGCAAGCGUUAAUCGGAAUUACUGGGCGUAAAGCGUGCGCAGGCGGUUUUGUAAGACAGAGGUGAAAUCCCCGGGCUCAACCUGGGAACUGCCUUUGUGACUGCAAGGCUAGAGUACGUCAGAGGGUGGUGGAAUUUCCUGUGUAGCGGUGAAAUGCGUAGAUAUAGGAAGGAACACCAGUGGCGAAGGCGACCACCUGGGCUAAUACUGACACUGAGGUGCGAAAGCGUGGGGAGCAAACAG